ACCAUCCUUUUCUUGGAGUUGCACUACUGUCUAAUGAGUGCAUAAUGAGGGCAGUAUUGCUAAUGCCUAUACAAUGCACCUGCAUCAACUAGAACUUCGCUUUAACUUUGUACAAUUUUUGGAAAA
ensembl:snRNA